ACAUGCAUUUGAUGCUCUUCAGUGGGAGCAGCAGCAAAAUCAACGACCGCAAUACAUUUUGCAACUGAGCAAGGGAUUGCGAAAGGCAAUGCACUGACACAAUUUAGUGCCAGACAAAUAUCAGAGAUGGCAACCAGAGACAAUACGGGGCUAAACCGAGGUCUCUUGAUUUUGACGUACGAAGAAAUGUAUGACAGACAUGCUAAUAGCAGAUGUGAUAAUCAUGUUAUGUAGUAAUGCCACUGACCUAAAAGAAAACGUGACGAUGGUUGAGGAAAAUGGACGCGAGGCCAAUAUGCGAUACUGGUUAUCGGAAGAACAAAAUGCAAUUCAGCCUAUUGUUAUUAGUAGGUCUACGAGUGAUCGUGACGUAGCAAGAUCUAUUGUUAUUAAAGGCACAGAGGACGCGAUGC